GGCUAGCACUCAGAGAGAGAGAAAAUUGCUUUCUGAGAAACUUAUGUUUUGACUUCUGUGAAAUUGGUGUUCUGUUGAGUGUAGAAAACUCUCAGUGUGUUUUGGGGCUCAGACCUCACCUCUGACUUGUGCUUGGUUUAUUGGGCCUAGUUAUUUGUGCCUCAGACUGACCAAUUUGCCUCCUGUGCAAUGGGUGUUUUGUGACUGGCCACAGCCACAAAGGCAGCCAUUUUGUGAAUGGGUGUCUCCCCUCACAGCAGCCAUUUUGUGAUGGCGCCCACAAAACUUCCUCAAAAUUCCAAAUGUGCCUAUCAGUUCUAAAGAGAAAGGUAUCUUUGCUGAAGAAGCAACAUUCCUCGGCGGAGUUAUCCAUUGCAAAUAAAAAUCAGUAGUGAUGAGUGCUCGUAGUGAUGUUGGGGAAUAACUUGAAAAUGAUUGUUCUAUCAUAUUUUGGCUGGAAUGCAGUAAUAUUUAAUAUGUGUUAGUUGACUGAUAUGUAAUGGAAUUUUAAAAAUUCUGAUACUAUUUAAUUGAUAACUUGCAAUUGUGUCAGGCAGCAUUCGCUAGAGAACAUACAGUGGUAAUAUUUUGGCUGUCGACAGCUUAUGAAAGACUGCUCAAAAAGAAACUGAUGGGACUUCAGAAAUUCCAAAGCAUGUGGAUUUUGAGGGGCGUGUUUAGGAAGAAGUAUAGACAGCCACUGAAGAAUCAGUUUACGUCACGAGCGGUGCGCUUUGCGAAUGUGUGAACCUUCCAAGUCAUCCAUGUUCUGAUGAGAGUGAAAUCCCUACGGAUGUCUGCUCAGAAGACUCAUCCAGUUCAAUAGAUCUUUCUUCCAGGUAAGUGUUUUAUAGGACUGUAGUGUCAAUGUGGAGCUAUAUCCAGAAAACACUGGCAUAGGGAAACGAUUGAGCAUUCUUAGAAGAAUUCUGAUUACAGUGGUAC